CCUACGGGUGGCAGCAGUGAGGAAUAUUGGUCAAUGGACGAGAGUCUGAACCAGCCAAGUAGCGUGAAGGAUGACUGUCCUAUGGGUUGUAAACUUCUUUUAUAAAGGAAUAAAACGAGGCACGUGUGCCUUUUUGCAUGUACUUUAUGAAUAAGCAUCGGCUAACUCCGUGCCAGCAGCCGCGGUAAUACGGAGGAUCCGAGCGUUAUCCGGCUUUAUUGGGUUUAAAGGGAGCGUAGAUGGGUUGUUAAGUCAGCUGUGAAAGGUUGCGGCUCAACCGUAAGAUUGCAAUUGAUACUGGCAGUCUUGAGAACAGGUGAGGUAGGCGGAAUUCGUGGUGUAGCGGUGAAAUGCUUAGAUAUCACGAAGAACCCCGAUUGCGAAGGCAGCUUACUAAA
rnacentral:rRNA from 1 species